UACGAAGGGGGCUAGCGUUGUUCGGAAUUACUGGGCGUAAAGCGCGCGUAGGCGGUGAUCUUUGUCAGAGGUGAAAUCCCGAGGCUCAACUUCGGAAUUGCCUUUGAAACGGGAUCGCUUGAGUCCGAGAGAGGAUGGCGGAAUUCCUAGUGUAGAGGUGAAAUUCGUAGAUAUUAGGAAGAACACCGGUGGCGAAGGCGGCCAAUCUGGCUCGGUACUGACGCUCAGGCG
rnacentral:rRNA from 1 species